AUUGAACGCUGGCGGCAUGCCUUACACAUGCAAGUCGAACGGUAACGGGCCUUCGGGUGCCGACGAGUGGCGAACGGGUGAGUAAUACAUCGGAACGUGCCCGAUCGUGGGGGAUAACGAGGCGAAAGCUUUGCUAAUACCGCAUACGAUCUACGGAUGAAAGCAGGGGACCGCAAGGCCUUGCGCGGACGGAGCGGCCGAUGGCAGAUUAGGUAGUUGGUGGGAUAAAAGCUUACCAAGCCGACGAUCUGUAGCUGGUCUGAGAGGAUGAUCAGCCACACUGGGACUGAGACACGGCCCAGACUCCUACGGGAGGCAGCAGUGGGGAAGUUUGGACAAUGGGCGCAAGCCUGAUCCAGCCAUGCCGCGUGCAGGAUGAAGGCCUUCGGGUUGUAAACUGCUUUUGUACGGAACGAAAAGCCUUCUUUUAAUACAGGAGGGUCAUGACGGUACCGUAAGAAUAAGCACCGGCUAACUACGUG
rnacentral:rRNA from 1 species